GCUUACGGCCAUACCACCCUGAAAGCGCCCGAUCUCGUCUGAUCUCGGAAGUGAAACAGCGUGGGGCCUGGUCAGUACUUGGAUGGCAGACUGCCUGGGAAUGCCAGGUGCUGUAAGCU
ensembl:rRNA 5S_rRNA 5S ribosomal RNA